rnacentral:rRNA from 1 species
AAGAAAUCGCAUCUUCUAAUACAGGGUGUGGAUGACGGUACCGUAAGAAGAAGCACCGGCUAACUACGUGCCAGCAGCCGCGGUAAUACGUAGGGUGCGAGCGUUAAUCGGAAUUACUGGGCGUAAAGCGUGCGCAGGCGGUGAUGUAAGACAGAUGUAGAAAUCCCCGGGGUCUUCAAACCUGGGGAACUGCGUUUUGUUUGAACUGCAUCACUCGAGUACGGCAGAGGGAGUGGAAUUCCGCGUGUAGCAGUGAAAUGCGUAGAUAUGCGGAGGAACACCGGUGGCGAAGGCAGCCUCCUGGGCCAGUACUGACGCUCAUGCACGAAAAGCGUGGGGAGCAAAACAGGAUUAGAUACCCUGGUAGUCCACGCCUAAACGAUGUCAACUAGUUGUUCGGUGAGGAGACUCAUUGAGUAACGCAGCUAACGCGUGAAGUUGACCGCCUGGGAGUACGGCCGCAAGGUUAAAACUC